AUUUCCUAACAAAGCCUUUCGUUCAUUAAAUCUUCCCCCCACCCCCUUCAAUGACAAUUUUCCCCGUUGCUUCGAAGUUGCAUCGCGAAGAAGCGCGAGAAAAUAUCAGAACCACCCUAGGCCAGACACGGAAGUGCGCACAACUGUUCACGCGGAAGCCAGACCUGUUCACGGCAAAGAAACUUGUCAAUGAGUGAUCGUGUUAUACAAUGGACACAGGGUUCUACAAGGCAGAAGUUCUGAAAUUUGACAAUAAAUGGAGACCAAGAACAUUUUCUUUUAUAAAUCCAAGUUUCUUCUUUGUUACAGGAGCAAUGAUUUAUUUCAGGAACCUGAGCAUACAGAUGUUGUUGAUAAAAAGAAGUUACCUAUUUUAAAACUGAAUGAAAACUGCAAGUACAAAGAGAGAGGCUGUAUAUUUUUUAUUUGAAAUAUUUAAAUAUGAAUGGUGAAAAAGGAAGAAAAAUAUGCAAAAAAUAAAUAUCAUUUUUAAGAGUAUCUAUUUUGCAUUUAACUGCAUUUUAAUAAGUACUCCAUCAUAUUUGAAAUUGCAUGUUAUACGUGGCUGUCAGGCAAUGCAAUGCUUCAAAAUGAUCCAAGAUUCACUUUGUGCGGGUGAUAUAUGUAUUUGCUCGCAUUCCACGUGUCAGUUCAAUUAAGUCUCAUAUACAUCAAGAUCCUCGAUGCAUAACGAGAAUUCUAGGGAAAAAAAAAAUGAAACAGUCGAGAAGAACACUUUGAUA